ensembl:lncRNA
GCGCACAGGAAGGGGGCUGGAGGCAAGGGCUGCAGCGCGAGGACAGAGGCCCCUCAGGCCCUCCCCGACCCUCCCGCCUCCUCAGGACGGCGCUGACCCCCUUAUCCCGGGGCUCCCUCCGCCAGCCCCCAAGUCCCCCGGAGCUCGGGCUCUGGGGAGGGGAGAACUAGGAGCCCAAAGUGCCGCGGUCAGUAAGGCUUCUAUUUUAUUUUUCAUUCCAUAAAUACAAGAGCCGGGGCUCAGUCCGAAUCUUCACUCGGAAGCGCGAUAUUCUAUGGAGGUUUCGGCCUAGACAGAAACGCGGUGAGUUUGGAAACCGGCCGGCAUCCGUGUGCAGACAUGUGCGCGCGCCCGCCCAUCCCUGAGCCCAAGUCCGAGCUCGGUAUUUACAUGACAGGGACAGAAGAGAAGAUGAGAACGGCCCCUCCUGGGACUGGGGGAGACUCUUCCACUGGAGGGGAGGCCGGGGGACUGCGGGGAUGGCGGUGACUUGAGGGUUACAGAACGGUGGGGGGGCGGAGGCGCCUCGGCCCAGCCCUGGCCCUUCCCCUGCCCGACCUUUCCGUGGGUGACCUGGCCUCCCAACUCUGGACUCCUCUGCCUCUUGGAGCAUUUAAUCCGAUCCCUCUGAGGCUCUUUUCUGGAGACCCUCUGCCUUCUGGGGUCUCGAGGGCUCCCAGAAUUCUGAGGGGGAAAAGUGAUCCCUUCCCUCCGGUCUGGCUGGUUCCCCGCGCAAUUUUGUGCAUUUAAAGAUGGUUCCCAGAAGGCCCCCAAAGGCCUGGCCCACUGCGGGGGGGGGGGGGCCGCGCGAUUUUGUGCAUUUAGAGAAUGUUUGGUUCUGGCUCUGGUUUUUCCCCCUUGACCAGGAGGUGGGAACCCCAAGACUUAGACCCUCUGGGGACAGAACUGCUCAGAGGGCACAGCCCCAGCCCCCUUCCCGCCUGCUUGCACCCACUGGCCAUUUUUAAGGGAAGUGGGGGUUGCACCCCUGGGACCAGAACUCGGGGUGGGAGCUGACUCCCCUGCCCCCUGACCUGCACCCACAAAGGAAGAAGCAUCCCUCUCCAGGAGGGAGUGUGGUUCUCUGGUGAAUAUUCCCCAUAUGCAGUACUGCGCCCCCUCCCCCCCAGGCCGGACACAACUGGACCUCUGAAGUGCCUGUUGUCCUGGCAUUCUCACCCCCUCAGCACCCCCACUACCUGAGCCUGAGGGUGGGGGCUGUUUCCUGCACCUGUGCCCGAGGGAGGGGCUGCGUCCUGUACCUGUGCCCAAGGGGGGGCUGUUUCCUGCACCUGUACCUGAGGGGGGUCCUUCCUGUACCUGUGGGGGGGGUCUUCCUGCACCUGUGCCCAAGGGGAGGGCCUGCUUCUUGUACCUGUGCUCGGCUAAGCGCUCCCAGUCCCAGAUCAGCCCACCACAGGUGGGUUCAGGGCCAGGGUGGGUUGUUCCCCUGGCACCAGCAGGGGGCCCUCUUGCCACCUGGAGGCCCAUUUGGUUCUGGCUGAGGUAGAACCGACACCCUUCAGGACCAGCCCAAGGAUUUGACCUGUAACCCGGCUGUGAUCUGUGGGCCGGACCCUGCCGGCCUCUGGGCCAAGUUCUUUAUCUACCAGAGGAGCUUUGUGGAAGCCAAAGCAAUCCCCAGGGCAGCUGGGCUCGGGUCACUCCUCUGGACUGAGAUCCCUCCCUCUUGUGAUCCUGCCUGCAUGAGCUCCUUGAGCUUCCCCAGGGAUCCAUGACACCAAAGACCCCAGGAUCCCUGGGCUGGCCUAUUCACUGCCCCCCCCCCCCCACUCCUGGUUCUGAUCCUGAGUGUGCCGGUCAUCACUGGCACCCGUUGGGCCUUUCCUCAGGACAAGCAUUUUCCCAGGGGGGCUUUCCCCAUCUCUGGGGGUCCCCCCUGGUCAGACUGCUGGGACUCCCUCCUGGCCACAAUCAUGGAAGGGAGAUGAGCUUGGCCCCAGAAAGCAGGCCCAGGAGACAGAUUUGGGCCCUCCUUGCUGACCACUGUUCGGGCCCCUGCUCCCCCUGAGAUUCCUUGGGUUCAAGCUGGUCAGUCCAAGGAAGCUGAUCCUCCCCCUGCCCAUGGAGUAGACAAGCUUCCCCGGGCCUGGAGAUCCCAGCCUGGAGGGGGUGCUGGUCCCUCAAAAGCCACCAAGUCACUGAGUCAGUGCUGGGAGAGAAGGCCUAAGGGCUAGGGGACCCCUCAAGUGUGGGGGGGAUGUUCCCCAAAGCACCCUGCUUUGUGGUGGCAACAUCCGGGCACUCUCGCUUGCUAAUUCAUGCCCACCUCACCCUUCACAGCUCCCAUCACUGACCCUGCAAUGAGCCCAGAACCACACUUUGUGUUUGGGCUGGUCCGACAUGUGUUUCCUUUGCCCCAGUAUCCCUAGCCUUUGCCACCAUGUGCCCAGCACACGGGGGCACUCACUGGUCAGUGAUGGGCAGAGCUAAUCUGGGCUCCCGAGUCGUGCCCCUCAGUCUGCUUGGGGCAGGGGGUCCCUCUCAGCUCAGGUUCUGGGACAUUUGGGGCAUGUGGGCAGUUUUACAGAGAUGGCAGGAAUGGGGGGAGGGGGUAUGAACGUCCCCAUGGCUCAGUGUGCCGGGCAGCUUCGGGAACGGCUCCGGCCUGGCCUGUCCCUUCUCACAGUCUGGGGCUGACAUACAGGGACCACCUAACAAAGCGGUGCUGGCCGCCAACGAGCCUGAGUCCGGACCACGGCUGUUCAGAAGGUGCCCCCCCCCAUCUCAUGGCUGCUGCCUCUGGUUACUCGGGACAAAGCUCUUGGGGGGGUGCUGGGAGUCUGGGGGGGGGAUUGAGGGCCAGCCUCGCUCCUGGGGGACAGACAAGGUUCUGACAUCUCGUGGGGCUUGGUCACCUGGCACAGGGUCAACAGCCUGGCUCCUCCUGAACUUGUGGGGGUCAAGAGAGGGAAAUUCUGGGAAUGGCAGCCCCUUAGAAACCGGAAGUGGGAAUGGACGCCUGAGAAAGUCCCAGCCAACCCUGGGGUGGGGAGGGGGGUCCCUAUUGUCUGGGCUGCCCACCCCAGCCGAGGGUUGUAGGUCGGGCCAGGGGAGUGUGCGAGUCUGUGUCUGUGUGAAGUCCCAAAAGGUACGACCCAGACCCCAAACCUGGACUCCUCAGAGUGGGCAGGACUGCUGCCUGUCGCCCAGCUUCGAGCUAGGCCCCGGGGGGAGCCAGGGUCUCCUCCAGGAAGGCGGCUGGAGCUUGGGGGCGAGGAAGAGCUACCUGGGCCGUGGCUAUGCCGGGGGUCAGGUGAGAGAGGGGCUGGCAAGCCCUGCCUGGGGUCAGCAAGGGGCGCGUCACUUCUCCUCACCGGGCGGCCGCUCCGGUCCUUGCUGAGAGUCCGAGCCUCGGUUGUGCUCUCACGGGCAACAUCCAGUGGAGGAACAUGUCGGUUCCGGUGAUGGCCGCAUCGCAUGUGGCCUCCCGGACUGGGGUCUCUCUCCCACACAGGCUCGUGCUUAAGAGGCCCCUUGGACACAAUUCUCCUUUUCUUAGAAGACUCUGGAUCCGCUCUAACCUUACUUAGCAGGAG